GUGAAAUUGUUGAAAGGGAAGCGCUUGCAACCAGACCUGCCUGCAGUUGCUCAUCCGGGCUUUUGCCCGGCGCACUCUUCUGCUGUCAGGCCAGCAUCGGUUCGGGCGGUCGGAUAAAGGCUUCGGGAAUGUAGCUCCUCUCGAGGAGUGUUAUAGCCCGUUGCGAAAUGCGGCCAGCCUGAACUGAGGUCCGCGCUUCGGCUAGGAUGCUGGCGUAAUGGUUGUAAGCGGCCCGUCUUGAAACACGGACCAAGGAGUCUAACAUCUGUGCGAGUGUUUGGGUGUCAAACCCGUACGCGUAAUGAAAGUGAACGGAGGCGGGAACCCCUCGGGGUGCACCGUCGACCGAUCCUGAUGUCUUCGGAUGGAUUUGAGUAAGAGCAUAGCUGUUGGGACCCGAAAGAUGGUGAACUAUGCCUGAAUAGGGUGAAGCCAGAGGAAACUCUGGUGGAGGCUCGCAGCGGUUCUGACGUGCAAAUCGAUCGUCAAAUUUGGGCAUAGGGGCGAAAGACUAAUCGAACUAUCUAGUAGCUGGUUCCUGCCGAAGUUUCCCUCAGGAUAGCAGU
rnacentral:rRNA from 1 species